CAGGGAAUAGUUUAAGAAGAAUUUCAG
rnacentral:tRNA from 2 species